rnacentral:miRNA from 1 species
UAACAUGAUGUCAGGAUUUCCC